rnacentral:rRNA from 1 species
UACAGGGGGUGCAAACGUUGCUCGGAAUCAUUGGGCGUAAAGCGCACGUAGGCGGUUCGUUAUGUCGGAUGUGAAAGCCCUUGGCUUAACCGAGGAAGUGCAUCCGAAACUGGUGAGCUAGAGUACGAAAGAGGAUCGCGGAAUUCCCGGUGUAGAGGUGAAAUUCGUAGAUAUCGGGAGGAACACCGGUGGCGAAGGCGGCGAUCUGGGUCGAUACUGACGCUGAGGUGCGAAAGCGUGGGGAGCAAACAGG